GUGUGAGGUAAAACUAGUAAAUGUGAGCCUCUUGUGUGAAUGAGUGAGGUAAAACUAGUAAAUGUGAGUCUUUUAUAUGAAUGUGUGAGGUAAAACUAGUAAAUGUGAGCCUUUUAUAUGAAUGUGUGAGGUAGAACUAGUAAAUGUGAGCCUUUUGUAUGAAUGCGUGAGGUAAAACUAGUAAAUGUGAACCUUUUAUAUGAAUGCGUGAGGUAAAAAUUAUGAAUGUGAGGUAAAACUAGUAAAUGUGAGCCUUUUAUAUGAAUGAGUGAGGUAGAACUAGUAAAUGUGAGCCUUUUGUAUGAAUGUGUGAGGUAGAACUAGUAAAUGUGAGCUUUUUAUUUGAAGUGAAACAGUAAUGAGGUCAAAUCUUAAUCAACUUCAGGGUGGUAGGAAUUUCACAAAGAAGCAUUUUCCAAAACUUCUUUGUUACAAAAACAAAUUUCUUAAAGCUAGCAUGACUGCAAACUGGCCAAACACGGGCAGUGACAUUCUGACAUUUUGCCCAUGAUGUCUGUGUGUGUGUCUGGUUAAGUAACGGGUUGGCGAAAUGGAUCAAUUGAAGAGUGACUCAGUUCCAUCCCGAGGUCUUCAGGUUACUUCCUGGAAACGUUGAGUGGACAUUCCACUCCGAUAAAGACACCUCCUGGUUACACACACGCACAACCGAGCUGAGUUAUUUAUGCAUGGACAGUAUUAGAGUUCACCAAAGGCAGGCCAAAAUCGCCUCAUCAUGAUGUUAACACUUGGACUGUGUGUGUGUCAGAGUGAAGGAAAUAGUGCUGUGUAGUGUGCAUUCAGCAGUUCUUUUCCAUUCAUAUAGACAAGGUGAAAUGAAUGAAAAAGGAAUCUGUGACUCUCAAAGAAAACCCGAAUCCCCAAAAAAUGGUGCUUCGUUGUUUACAGAAUUCAUCCACAAAUUAAUAAUAGUUUUAUGGUUAAGAUCACAAAUCGGUCAAUAAUGGAUCCUAGCAAAGUAAAAACUUCAUCUUAAUUCUGUACAUAUGUACAUUGUGUGUGUGUGAGAGAGAGAGAGUGAGAGAGAGAGGAGGAUGUGGACAGUCUGUGUGGUUUCAGAGCCACAUGGAUAUUGUGUGUGUGUGUUUUAAAUUAUUCUCAGGGUCAUAGUGCUCAGUCACUGAUAGCUCUUCUCUCUCAU
ensembl:lncRNA